CACCUAUCUUUCUCGAUCGUGUACAUGCGUGAUGCAUUGGUGUGCUAGCCAUCAACCAGUCAGUCAGCAAAAGGACACACCGGAAAGGCUCAUAGAUUGAACCUGCUGUCGCGAUAAUAUCUCCUCAAGUGCAGAGAGACAUAGAUAUAGGAGAGAUGUGUAGAGAUGCACGUAGAAACAAACGGCAAAAACUUCAUAUUUCUUUCUUGAUCAUAAACUACAAGUCAUGCGAAUUUAUGAUACAGUAUAUAUAUUAUACAUUCAUCUGUAUAUUUAUCUGAAGCUGAACUGUGUUUCAAAUUCGUCGCUAUUCACGUAUACACGUGUACAAUAGAGAGAGAGAGAGAGAGAGAGAGAGAGAGAGAGAGAGAGAGAAAGAGAUUAGGGAGUAGGGGGAAUCAAAUGAAGGGGAGUCAGAAGGAGGGAGUGUAAAAAGCAGGACGAGAAUGAUCGGCUCGCAUGCAUGUGUGUGCAUGAGCGUACAAUUACGCGUACUACUAUGCAAAAGAGGUACGAGCGAAAAGGAUAAGUAAGCUAAACGAUAUAACUGUUGAGAGUAGAAUGGAGCGGAGGAAACGAGGAGGAGAGCAGCACGUAAUUGCGAGAUAAGAGAGAUGCGUUACACCUCGAUCAAAGUAUAGAAGAAGAGGAGGAGGAAGAAAAGAAAGUGUGGCAACGGAGAGAGUCGAUGAAUAGGAAUUGCAUUUUGAGAUGAACACAAGGCAGAAAGCGUACAUAAGCGGGAUUUUCGUAACCGUUUUAUUACUAAUCAUACUUCUUUUCUCAUUUUUUUUUUUUACACCUAAUGAUGAGUUGGCAGAAAUGACUUUUGAGGGAUAGAAGAAAGGCAAAGGAAAAUACGCUGCUGGUAGAAAUAAAUAAGAGAAGAACAAAUGACAAUUGUGAAAUUGUACUGUCAACGAUGGAUCAAACAAAUUUGAUUCGAAUUCGAUCUUGUCUGUUAGUCUCGAAUCGGCACAACGUAAAUAGAUUUCUCAAAAGUGUCUUCGAGUGCUCGCGCGAUCACGUUACGUUCGAAUUUCGUUCACACUCUGUUUCCCGACGUACAGAAGAGUCACUCGUUCUACUUUCACUCCAAUUCUUCUGCGCGAAACCCGAAUCGGCAUCGCGCGUUUGCAAAUCAUAGCACGCUGCAUCGAGCAAAAGUUGACGAUUCCUUUUCGGAUAAUCGCAUAACGCGGAUCGUGUGUCACUCACGCAAAAAUCUCGCUUGCGAUAUAUGUAUGUACAUCUUGUGAAAUGAUGUUCGUGGUUGCGGUUGGACGACAAAGAGGAGGACGAGCAGAUAAAUCUGCUGUGCAAUUCGAUCGUACGAAUUACAAAUGUUCGGUAUGACAUCGCAGAGUUACUUCCUGCAUACCGAUAGGAUGGCGUUGAGUAAUAGCAUUGCUCGUUGGUACCAUAAAUAAAUUCGCUAAUCGCCGGCACCAUCGGUAGUAGUUCUUCCGUCAGAUGAAGUACCGCGUUGAAUGCUCGCACUCGUGAAAUACUGUUACGUAAGCGCGAGAUAUGAGAAUCUCGUUACGUCUGCAAUUCGACGUAAUGCAGCCAAUUCGUACAUUCCAAUAAAAUCUUCCGAUACUUUACUACUUGCAGCUGUAGGUAAUUUUCGUCAAUGAAUCGUCGAUAACGAUCGAUUAAUUGUAAAGUUUCGCAUUACGAAAUGCGAGGAGAAGCGAAAACGGAAAACAGGCAGACAGGAUAUGUUACAUUGGCUAGGAUGAAACGGCGAUGUACAUACAUCCAAGCUGAAUCGCUCCCCUCCUUUCAGCGAAAGUGUAACAAAGUUGAUCAUCUUUUCCCAACGUAGACAAAAGCAACGCGAACGGUGACCAACAUUUUCAUCAAACAGUAAUUGAAUUCUUUUGAUAGGUGUAGCUUGUAACAAACGGCAUUACCUGAUUACUCGUUGUGUGCUGACACCUGCGGGAUCAUCGGCAAACCAGCUACUCCUUGAACUUCCAUUCCUGACGACACAUCGGACAGAGAUGCCUGGUUUGCUGCGAAUGCAACCACUUCAUGAUGCAGUGUAUGUGGAAGCAAUGCGAGCAUUGGCCCCAGACUAGAACAGUAUAGAACCAGUAUUUACAUCAUAAACAUUUCUUCCCCCGGGGCGAAGUAUCGCGAAACACGCGCACCUUCUAUUAUAUCGACAACAACCGGCGACCACACAGAGUUUGUCGAGUUUACAUUGACACGCGCGGAGUACGCGCGCGUCAGCAGAACGUGGGGUAUCGUGUGCGAGCGAUCCGUUUCAUUUCGGCACACCGAUCGAUAUUUAGCCUGGCAGCUGCGCAAACGCUUUCGCGCGUAUUUUACAAACCGUCUAUCGUAGCAAAUCAAUCGCCUCUAGAGUCACUUCUCGUCUAUCCAUUUCUUUAAUGUUUAACGUUAACGUUUUUGUUUUUCAUUAAAUAAAAAAAAUAAAUAACA